GGGGGGGUGUUUUUUUAUUUUUAAUGAAUUUACUGACCCUUUUUAUCUCUGCUUCUCUGUUGUUUUCGGAUGCGGACUCCAGUGCUCCACCCGGAUUUGGGUGUGGGUGUAGACAGGAGAAUGAAGGCUCUGGAACAACCUCCAGAAAUGACCCUUGGUGCCGACUUGUCUGGAAGCCAUCACAGGGAGUUUUGAAGCAAAGAAUCUUCAAGUGGACCCGAGGGUGACUUGGCAACGCUGUACCUGACCUUUGACAGU